rnacentral:lncRNA from 1 species
GACCCAACAACAAUCUAACCAUGUACAACCUAGAACCUGAAGAUUGGGUCUUUGGAAAUUAUACCACAAAAAGACUGCUUUCGAAGUUUGUUGGAAGAGACCAUACCAAGUUCUACCCACAUGGCAGUAUAACUUAAGGGUCUCGAGGCUUAGAUCCACUUUUCUCAAUCUAACAGAACCCCUUCAGAAUCUUGGGACUGUAAACCCACUGAAGACCCCAAGGUAAAACUAACAAGAGUGGUUUUUCCUCAAAACCAGCCCAUGGCAGACAUCCAGCUGAUCACACUGUGUCCACAUAAGGCAAAUGCUGAGCUGUAAUCCAUCAAGCUGUUUCCGCAUAGAGAAAAGGCCAUAUGAGUACACAGCCAGAAGGUGUCUGCCUACAAGACAAAGAGGGAAAACUUACCUGAAACCAACCCUGAUGGAUAUUGGAUUUCUAAGCUCCAGAACUGUGAGAAAAUUAAUUUUAUGUGCUUUAAGACACUCAAUUUGUGGUAUUCUGUUAUGGCAGCCUAUGCUAGUCAAUUUGCAUUACCAUAAAGCAACACCUGAGAGUGGGUAAAUUAUAAAGAAAAGAAGUUGAAUCGGCUCAUGGUUCUGCAGGCAGUACAGAAGCAUAGUGCUGGCAAUUGCCCCUGGCAAGGGGCUCAGGAAGCUUACAAACAUGGCAGAAGGCAAAGGGAAGCCAACAUAUCACACGUAAGCUCAGGAAGCUUACAAACAUGGCAGAAGGCAAAGGGAAGCCAACAUAUCACGUGGCGAGAAAGACAGAGAAGCGGUAGGUCCCAGACUCUUUUAAACAACAAGACCUCAUGUGAACUGAGGGGAAACUCACUUUCACCAAGGAGAUGGUGCUAAACCACUAAUGAGGGAUCUGUCCCAUGAGCCAAUCACCUCCCACCAAGACCUACCUCCAAUUUUGGAAAUUAUAUUUCAACAUGAGAUUUGGAGGGGACAAACAUCCAAACCAUAUCCCAGCCUGAGCAGACUAACAGAGUCUCUGAAUAAAUCUAUGAAAAUGACUAGAGUAUUAUUUUGUUGAGUGAUUUCUUCUUGUAUUAGGAUUGGUCUCCUUGAAAAUAUUUUUCUCAUAUCUGUUAUAAUAAAAUACUGAGAAUCAUACUAAUUCUACUCUAAACUUAGAUAUUUAAGAGGGUUGGAUUUGACUGAUUGCUCUGAUGUUGCUAACAUAGUCAAAGACUUUUCAAAACUAAAGUGUAAUAUUAUGUCAUGCAACCUUGAGAAAAUUACAAUGGACAAAGCAGAACUAUAAUUCACAAUUCAUCUCCCAAACAAAUUGUGACACCCCUUCUUUCCAAUCCACUGAAAUAUGCCUAAAAUGAGAAAAAAGGGAAAUCUUAAAAACAACAACAACAACAACAAAGAAAAAACAGAAAACGGCAACAUUCAGGCAAAAAAGAAUGUGAGGACUAUGAUGCUGGCAUGCUAAACUUAAUUAAUAAUAAAUGAGAGAGUUUGGAAUGAU